rnacentral:lncRNA from 1 species
CUCUAUCCCUCGCCCGGGGCCGCCCUCCCUGCCGCUCCCUUAGGGGCUCUGCGACACCCGCCUCCGGGGGCGCCCCGCCCCCCGCCGCGCGUGCCUGGUUACGACAUGGCGCUAACGGCCCCUCCGGCCCGCCGAGCUCUGUUUUCUGCGGCGGCUUCGCUACUGCUGCUGGGGGCGGCGGAUUUGACUAACCUCUUCUAAAAUACCUCCAGUGAUGAAGACAGUACAACCCCCUCUGGCAAUCUGUUCCUUGAAUUAUAAUUACUGCAGGAAGCUCUCAUUUCUUGGAUAAGACUCAACUCACAAAGAAAGGAGAUGCACACUUGAAACAAGAAGGUAUAAUUAGAAUGCACAACUCAGUGGCUCUCUCUGAACCCAUGAAAAUAACAUCUAUCCCAGAUGUUCCACAAACACCUCAUCAAAUACUUGGAAAAGAAAACUCCACUGGCUUAAUUCUUAAAUGCUUGACUGAAAAGUUGUUAAAGGAAGGAAUAAAUGAUCCAGAAUAUCAGUGGGUUGGUCCCGUGGGCUUGAUAACUAAAGACUCAGAAGGACUUGUUUUAACAGAAGGUUAUCUGGAGAUCUAUAAUAUUCACGCAAGUGACACUGGAAGUUAUACCUGUAAAGUUACCUAUGUACAUAAUGACAAACAUAUGAUGACAGAAGUGCGUUUUAUGAUCUAUGAUCCCUGUGAAAGUUCCGACUGUGAAAAUUCCUUCAACUGUAUCAAAAAGGUGGAAUUAUUCAUUAGCAAUAUGAAAAUAUAUUUUUAGAAAUUUGAUCCAUGUUUACAUUUCUGUCCUCGUGUCAUUGUAUUAAAAGCCUGUAUAGUUAAGGAACUUUGCAUGCAAGAAUAAAUGUGAUAGAAAACCGUAUUGUCA